AUGACCUUGUCAACCUCAUAGGCUCACAUGGAUAUUACUUGACACUCGGGCUCCAUUUAGGCACAUAUAGGAGCUCAGCAACAUCUGUCAUAUUCUGGUUGCCACGGUUAAAAAGAGACAUUGCCCGUGGGAGUUGUGCUGGCUAAAUAAUGGCCUCAAAGAUGUCCGCAUCCUAGUCUCUGAGAAUGCGCUGGUUGCCCGGCAAGGGAAAGUGAAGGUUGCAGAUAGAAUGAAGCCUACUCAUCAGCUGACCUCAAGGAGUCGCCAGCUCCUGCAGGACACCACCGCCACCAAGGAACGAACUUUCAGAACAGCUGUACAGAACCUUCCUCUCUUCGCAACGGA